GAUGAAGAACGUAGCGAAAUGCGAUACGUAAUGUGAAUUGCAGAAUUCAGUGAAUCAUCGAGUCUUUGAACGCACAUUGCGCCCGCCAGCAUUCUGGCGGGCAUGCCUGUUCGAGCGUCAUUUCAACCCUCGAGCCCCCCCGGGGGCCUCGGUGUUGGGGGACGGCACACCAGCCGCCCCCGAAAUGCAGUGGCGACCCCGCCGCAGCCUCCCCUGCGUAGUAGCACACACCUCGCACCGGAGCGCGGAGGCGGUCACGCCGUAAAACGCCCAACUUUCUUAGAGUUGACCUCGGAUCAGGUAGGAAUACCCGCUGAACUUAAGCAUAUCAAUAAGCGGAGG
rnacentral:misc_RNA from 1 species